CAGUCGACGGUAGCACAGAGGAGCUUGCUCCUCGGGUGACGAGUGGCGGACGGGUGAGUAAUGUCUGGGGAUCUGCCCGAUGGAGGGGGAUAACCACUGGAAACGGUGGCUAAUACCGCAUAACGUCGCAAGACCAAAGUGGGGGACCUUCGGGCCUCACACCAUCGGAUGAACCCAGAUGGGAUUAGCUAGUAGGUGGGGUAACGGCUCACCUAGGCGACGAUCCCUAGCUGGUCUGAGAGGAUGACCAGCCACACUGGAACUGAGACACGGUCCAGACUCCUACGGGAGGCAGCAGUGGGGAAUAUUGCACAAUGGGCGCAAGCCUGAUGCAGCCAUGCCGCGUGUAUGAAGAAGGCCUUCGGGUUGUAAAGUACUUUCAGCGGGGAGGAAGGGGACGAGGUUAAUAACCUCGUUCAUUGACGUUACCCGCAGAAGAAGCACCGGCUAACUCCGUGCCAGCAGCCGCGGUAAUACGGAGGGUGCAAGCGUUAAUCGGAAUUACUGGGCGUAAAGCGCACGCAGGCGGUCUGUUAAGUCAGAUGUGAAAUCCCCGGGCUUAACCUGGGAACUGCAUUUGAAACUGGCAGGCUUGAGUCUUGUAGAGGGGGGUAGAAUUCCAGGUGUAGCGGUGAAAUGCGUAGAGAUCUGGAGGAAUACCGGUGGCGAAGGCGGCCCCCUGGACAAAGACUGACGCUCAGGUGCGAAAGCGUGGGGAGCAAACAGGAUUAGAUACCCUGGUAGUCCACGCCGUAAACGAUGUCGACUUGGAGGCUGUGAGCAUGACUCGUGGCUUCCGGAGCUAACGCGUUAAGUCGACCGCCUGGGGAGUACGGCCGCAAGGUUAAAACUCAAAUGAAUUGACGGGGGCCCGCACAAGCGGUGGAGCAUGUGGUUUAAUUCGAUGCAACGCGAAGAACCUUACCUGCUCUUGACAUCCACGGAAUUCGGCAGAGAUGCCUUAGUGCCUUCGGGAACCGUGAGACAGGUGCUGCAUGGCUGUCGUCAGCUCGUGUGUGAAAUGUUGGGGUUAA
rnacentral:rRNA from 1 species